GAGUUUGAUCUUGGCUCAGGAUGAACGCUAGCGGCGUGGUUAAGACAUGCAAGUCGAACGGGUUUUCAGGUGUAGCAAUACAUUUGAAAGCCAGUGGCGAACGGGUGCGUAACACGUGAACAAUCUACCAUUUAGUGUGGAAUAGCUCGCCGAAAGGCGAAUUAAUACCGCAUGUGGUUGUUUCCCGCAUGGGAGACAUACUAAAGUCAGGGACCGCAAGGCCUGACGCUAAUUGAGGAGUUCGCGGCCUAUCAGCUAGUUGGCGAGGUAACGGCUCACCAAGGCUAAGACGGGUAGCUGAUCUGAGAGGAUGAUCAGCCACACUGGGACUGAGACACGGCCCAGACUCCUACGGGAGGCAGCAGUGGGGAAUCUUGGACAAUGGGCGCAAGCCUGAUCCAGCCAUGCCGCGUGAGUGAAGAAGGCCUUAGGGUUGUAAAGCUCUUUUGCCAGGGACGAUAAUGACGGU
rnacentral:rRNA from 1 species